UACGAAGGGGGCUAGCGUUGCUCGGAAUCACUGGGCGUAAAGCGCACGUAGGCGGGUCUUAAGUCAGGGGUGAAAUCCUGGAGCUCAACUCCAGAACUGCCUUUGAUACUGAGGAUCUCGAGUCCGGGAGAGGUGAGUGGAACUCCGAGUGUAGAGGUGAAAUCGUUAGAUAUUCGCAAGAACACCAGUGGCGAAGGCGGCUCACUGGCCCGGUACUGACGCUGAGGUGCGAAAGCGUGGGGAGCAAACAGGG
rnacentral:rRNA from 1 species